rnacentral:rRNA from 1 species
AUUGAACGCUGGCGGCAGGCCUAACACAUGCAAGUCGAGCGGAUGAAGGGAGCUUGCUCCUGGAUUCAGCGGCGGACGGGCGAGUAAUGCCUAGGAAUCUGCCUGGUAGUGGGGGAUAACGUCCGGAAACGGGCGCUAAUACCGCAUACGUCCUGAGGGAGAAAGUGGGGGAUCUUCGGACCUCACGCUAUCAGAUGAGCCUAGGUCGGAUUAGCUAGUUGGUGGGGUAAAGGCCUACCAAGGCGACGAUCCGUAACUGGUCUGAGAGGAUGAUCAGUCACACUGGAACUGAGACACGGUCCAGACUCCUACGGGAGGCAGCAGUGGGGAAUAUUGGAAGAUGGGCGAAAGGCUGAUACAGCCAUGCCGCGUGUGUGAAGAAGGUCUUCGGAUUGUAAAGCACUUUAAGUUGGGAGGAAGGGCAGUAAGUUAAUACCUUGCUGUUUUGACGUUACCAACAGAAUAAGCACCGGCUAACUUCG